GGGACCAUCCUCCAAGGCUAAAUACUCCUGACUGACCGAUAGUGAACCAGUACCGUGAGGGAAAGGCGAAAAGAACCCCGGCGAGGGGAGUGAAAAAGAACCUGAAACCGUGUACGUACAAGCAGUGGGAGCACAGAGCAAUCUGUGUGACUGCGUACCUUUUGUAUAAUGGGUCAGCGACUUAUAUUCUGUAGCAAGGUUAACCGAAUAGGGGAGCCGAAGGGAAACCGAGUCUUAACUGGGCGUUAAGUUGCAGGGUAUAGACCCGAAACCCGGUGAUCUAGCCAUGGGCAGGUUGAAGGUUGGGUAACACUAACUGGAGGACCGAACCGACUAAUGUUGAAAAAUUAGCGGAUGACUUGUGGCUGGGGGUGAAAGGCCAAUCAAACCGGGAGAUAGCUGGUUCUCCCCGAAAGCUAUUUAGGUAGCGCCUCGUGAAUUCAUCUCCGGGGGUAGAGCACUGUUUCGGCAAGGGGGUCAUCCCGACUUACCAACCCGAUGCAAACUGCGAAUACCGGAGAAUGUUAUCACGGGAGACACACGGCGGGUGCUAACGUCCGUCGUGAAGAGGGAAACAACCCAGACCGCCAGCUAAGGUCCCAAAGUCAUGGUUAAGUGGGAAACGAUGUGGGAAGGCCCAGACAGCCAGGAUGUUGGCUUAGAAGCAGCCAUCAUUUAAAGAAAGCGUAAUAGCUCACUGGUCGAGUCGGCCUGCGCGGAAGAUGUAACGGGGCUAAACCAUG
rnacentral:rRNA from 1 species